rnacentral:rRNA from 1 species
AACGAACGCUGGCGGCAUGCCUAACACAUGCAAGUCGAACGAGACCUUCGGGUCUAGUGGCGCACGGGUGCGUAACGCGUGGGAACCUGCCCUUAGGUUCGGAAUAACUCCCCGAAAGGGGUGCUAAUACCGGAUAAUGUCUUCGGACCAAAGAUUUAUCGCCUUUGGAUGGGCCCGCGUUGGAUUAGCUAGUUGGUAGGGUAAAAGCCUACCAAGGCGACGAUCCAUAGCUGGUCUGAGAGGAUGAUCAGCCACACUGGGACUGAGACACGGCCCAGACUCCUACGGGAGGCAGCAGUAGGGAAUAUUGGACAAUGGGCGAAAGCCUGAUCCAGCAAUGCCGCGUGAGUGAUGAAGGCCUUAGGGUUGUAAAGCUCUUUUACCCGGGAUGAUAAUGACAGUACCGGGAGAAUAAGCUCCGGCUAACUCCGU